CUAGUAACGGCGAGUGAAGCAGCAAUAGCUCAAAUUUGAAAUCUGGCGUCUUCGACGUCCGAGUUGUAAUUUGUAGAGGAUGCUUCUGAGUAACCACCGACCUAAGUUCCUUGGAACAGGACGUCAUAGAGGGUGAGAAUCCCGUAUGCGGUCGGAAAGGUGCUCUAUACGUAGCUCCUUCGACGAGUCGAGUUGUUUGGGAAUGCAGCUCUAAAUGGGAGGUAAAUUUCUUCUAAAGCUAAAUAUUGGCCAGAGACCGAUAGCGCACAAGUAGAGUGAUCGAAAGAUGAAAAGCACUUUGGAAAGAGAGUUAAAAAGCACGUGAAAUUGUUAAAAGGGAAGGGAUUGCAACCAGACUUGCUCGCGGUGUUCCGCCGGUCUUCUGACCGGUCUACUCGCCGCGUUGCAGGCCAGCAUCGUCUGGUGCCGCUGGAUAAGACUUGAGGAAUGUAGCUCCCUCGGGAGUGUUAUAGCCUCUUGUGAUGCAGCGAGCGCCGGGCGAGGUCCGCGCUUCGGCUAGGAUGCUGGCGUAAUGGUCGUAAUCCGCCCGUCUUGAAACACGGACCA
rnacentral:rRNA from 1 species